rnacentral:rRNA from 1 species
AUGCUGGCAGUUGGGCGGAUGGAAGCGGUGCGCGCGCAUGCAGUCCAUGUUGUUGCACUCGAGCGUGUCGUGGGAGGCGCCGCCGUCGCAGGUGGACCAGACGAUGGGGCCGGAGAGGUCGAGGACCAGCGGCAGCGGGCGGCUGGACUUGACGGGGAUGGUGUAGAGGGAGGUGCGGCAUCCCUUGUGACGGCCGUCACGAGCGGCCUGCCGCCGCCGUCGCCCGCCACCGUGCAU